UCUGUAUCAGGCAGGAGACGUAAUGCCUGCCACAGAAUCAGAUCAAGUGUGUAAAAGAUAAUUGAUUAUAAAAAAUAUAAAAAAUUCAACCAUGAACAGUUUUCCCAUUGGCUAAGGAAUGGGAAAGAGCGAGGGAGAAAAUGGGCAGAAACCUGAAAACAUAUAGAUCCAUCGGGAUUAAAAACCAUAGCAAUAUUUACAGACCAGGGCUAUAUAAUGACAUGCUCUAGACCAGGGACAGAGCUAUGACAAGAGGUACAGACCAGGGCCAUAUAAUGACAUGCUCUAGACCAGGGACAGAGCUAUGACAAGAGGUACAGACCAGGGCUAUAUAAUGACAUGAUCUAGACCAGGGACAGAGCUAUGACAAGAGGUACAGACCAGGGCCAUAUAAUGACAUGCUCUAGACCAGGGACAGAGCUAUGACAAGAGGUACAGACCAGGGCCAUAUAAUGACAUGCUCUAGACCAGGGACAGAGCUAUGACAAGAGGUACAGACCAGGGCCAUAUAAUGACAUGCUCUAGACCAGGGACAGAGCUAUGACAAGAGGUACAGACCAGGGCCAUAUAAUGACAUGCUCUAGACCAGGGACAGAGCUAUGACAAGAGGUACAGACCAGGGCCAUAUAAUGACAUGCUCUAGACCAGGGACAGAGCUAUGACAAGAGGUACAGACCAGGGCCAUAUAAUGACAUGCUCUAGACCAGGGACAGAGCUAUGACAAGAGGUACAGACCAGGGCCAUAUAAUGACAUGCUCUAGACCAGGGACAGAGCUAUGACAAGAGGUACAGACCAGGGCCAUAUAAUGACAUGCUCUAGACCCAGGGACAUGCUCUAGACCCAGGGACAUGGUCU